rnacentral:rRNA from 1 species
UACGAAGGGGGCGAGCGUUGUUCGGAUUUACUGGGCGUAAAGGGCGCGCAGGCGGCUCAUUUUGUCAGGCGUGAAAGCCCCGGGCUUAACCUGGGAACUGCGUUUGAUACGGAUGGGCUAGAGUUCGGGAGAGGAGAGUGGAAUUCCCAGUGUAGAGGUGAAAUUCGUAGAUAUUGGGCGGAACACCAGUGGCGAAGGCGACUCACUGGCCCGAUACUGACGCUGAUGCGCGAAAGCGUGGGGAGCAAACAGG